rnacentral:rRNA from 1 species
AUGUUGAGCAAUGGCGGACAAACUGUUUCUGUUAAGCUGUUCAUCGACAAGGAGAAGAAGAGGGUUCUCUUUGCAGAAUCUGACAAGGAUUUCGUUGACAUCCUCUUCAGUUUCCUUACUCUGCCUCUCGGCGCCAUCGCUCGUCUCUUCAAGAAGCAAUCGCAGAUGGGAUGCCUUGAUGAGCUUUACAAGAGCGUGGAUGCUCUGGGGGCAGAGCACUUCCAGACCACGGUUUGCAAAACAAUGCUUCUUAGUCCUGUUAAUGCUGCCGCGUUUCAUUGCGAUCGACUUAAAGUCAAAGUCGACGAUGCCAAUAGAAGAGUAUUUUACGUAAGCACAAGCAAAAACUGUAUGAACUUCAGCCCAGUCGCUGGUGGUUGUUGCAGUUGUGGCAACUGGUCAUGCCAAAGCUUCUGGGAAUGUCCACAGGACGUUCUUGUAACUGUUGAAGGCAAUGGUGACGGGUUAUUCGUGAAAGGUGGACUGAAGUACAUUGUCACGGAUGAUCUCCAAGUGAGUCCAGCCUCUACAAGUCUUGUGUUUUCCCUGUUCGAUAGGUUUGGGCUCCAAGAGCAAGCCAAGAUUGAGGAGACAAUUCUUCAUCUCAAUGCCAACAAGAUCACGAGCCUGCUUAAGAGAGCACUGAUGUCCAAGCAAGCUUUGACUUGGCUAUGUUUUGAAGUUUCUGCGGCCUCACCAGGUGCUGUAAAUAUAGAUAAGCAGCUCGGUAAGAAACAAGCUAAUGAGACACCGUCUAUGUUCACUGCAAUCAAGAUUAAACUGGUGCAUACAAAGGAUGAAUCCUGCGUGCUGUAUGCCGAAGUUGGAGAAGACUUUGUUGAUAUGAUCUUUGGCCUCCUUUGCUUUCCACUGGGUUCUGUCACCAAGACUUUUGGUCAAAUGCCUCCUAAUGGGUGUAUUAGUACUCUGUAUGCGAGUGUCGAUGGGAGCGCAAGGGGUUGCGUGAAACAUGAGUGCCGACACAUGCUCGUUAGCCCUCAGUUGGCACCCUUCUUCGGUUGCAGCAAAAACAUACUGCAAGCAGAUGAGCUACCACCAAGAAGCCUGGCUUUCGGCUGCUUGAGGUGCCUUCGUAUCACAGCCACUACUGAAAAACCAUGCAACUGCAUAUUGCAGCCGCACCUCGCACGUAAGCCAACAUACGGAACUAUCAACGAGAUUAACCCAAAGUCAGAAUACCCAAGAGCAUAUAUCAAAGGAGGCCCAAGAAACUUCCUUGUGACCAACGAUCUGCGUGUCAUUCAUUUCUCCUUGACAAACACUCUACAAAUCUUGCGUGAAGCCAGGAUUCCCAAGGAGAAGCUUGUGGAGAAAGAAAUAGCACUCAACAAAACCCAGGUCCUGAAAUUAGUGAGAGUUGCACUGGUCACUCGCGAUGCUCUUGGGAGCGUGCUCUUACCUUCCAAGGAGUAG